rnacentral:rRNA from 1 species
UACGUAGGGGGCUAGCGUUGUCCGGAUUUAUUGGGCGUAAAGAGCGUGUAGGCGGCCAGGUAGGUCGGUUGUGAAAACUGGAGGCUCAACCUUCAGAGGUCGACCGAAACCAUCUGGCUAGAGUCCGGGAGAGGAGAGUGGAAUUCCUGGUGUAGCGGUGAAAUGCGCAGAUAUCAGGAAGAACACCCGUGGCGAAAGCGGCUCGCUGGAACGGUACUGACGCUGAGACGCGAAAGCGUGGGGAGCGAACAGG